GACGAACGCUGGCGGCGUGCCUAAUACAUGCAAGUUGAGCGAUGAAGAUUGGUGCUUGCACCAAUUUGAAGAGCAGCGAACGGGUGAGUAACGCGUGGGUAAUCUGCCUUUGAGCGGGGGACAACAUUUGGAAACGAAUGCUAAUACCGCAUAACAACUUUAAACAUAAGUUUUAAGUUUGAAAGAUGCAAUUGCAUCACUCAAAGAUGAUCCCGCGUUGUAUUAGCUAGUUGGUGAGGUAAAGGCUCACCAAGGCGAUGAUACAUAGCCGACCUGAGAGGGUGAGUGGCCACAUUGGGACUGAGACACGGCCCAAACUCCUACGGGAGGCAGCAGGAGGGAAUCUUCGGCAAUGGACGAAAGUCUGACCGAGCAACGCCGCGUGAGUGAAGAAGGUUGUCGGAUCGGAAAACUCGGUUGGUAGAGAAGAACGUUGGUGAGAGUGGAAAGCUCAUCAAGUGACGGUAACUACACAGAAAGGGACGGCUAACUACGUG
rnacentral:rRNA from 1 species